GACGAACGCUGGCGGCGUGCUUAACACAUGCAAGUCGAACGGAAAGGCCCUGCUUGCAGGGUACUCGAGUGGCGAACGGGUGAGUAACACGUGGGUGAUCUGCCCUGCACUUCGGGAUAAGCCUGGGAAACUGGGUCUAAUACCGGAUAGGAGCCAUUUUUAGUGUGAUGGUUGGAAAGUUUUUUUCGGUGUAGGAUGAGCUCGCGGCCUAUCAGCUUGUUGGUGGGGUAAUGGCCUACCAAGGCGGCGACGGGUAGCCGGCCUGAGAGGGUGGACGGCCACAUUGGGACUGAGGUACGGCCCAGACUCCUACGGGGGGCAGCAGUGGGGAAUAUUGCACAAUGGGCGCAAGCCUGAUGCAGCGACGCCGCGUGGGGGAUGACGGCCUUCGGGUUGUAAACUCCUUUCGCUAGGGACGAAGCUUUUUGUGACGGUACCUAGAUAAGAAGCACCGGCUAACUACGUG
rnacentral:rRNA from 1 species